UGGGGAAUAUUGGACAAUGGGCGAAAGCCUGAUCCAGCCAUGCCGCGUGUGUGAAGAAGGUCUUCGGAUUGUAAAGCUCUUUAAGUUGGGAGGAAGGGCAGUAAGCGAAUACCUUGCUGUUUUGACGUUACCGACAGAAUAAGCACCGGCUAACUCUGUGCCAGCAGCCGCGGUAAUACAGAGGGUGCAAGCGUUAAUCGGAAUUACUGGGCGUAAAGCGCGCGUAGGUGGUUCGUUAAGUUGAAUGUGAAAGCCCCGGGCUCAACCUGGGAACUGCAUCCAAAACAGGCGAGCUAGAGUAGGGCAGAGGGUGGUGGAAUUUCCUGUGUAGCGGUGAAAUGCGUAGAUAUAGGAAGGAACACCAGUGGCGAAGGCGACCACCUGGGCUCAUACUGACACUGAGGUGCGAAAGCGUGGGGAGCAAACAGG
rnacentral:rRNA from 1 species